rnacentral:rRNA from 1 species
UGCGUAGGUGGUGAGGUAAGUCGGAUGUGAAAUCUCCGAGCUCAACUCGGAAAUGGCAUUGGAAACUACCUUGCUAGAGGGUUGGAGGGGGGACUGGAAUACUUGGUGCAGCAGUGAAAUGCGUAGAUAUCAAGUGGAACACCAGUGGCGAAGGCGAGUCCCUGGACAACUCCUGACACUGAGGCACGAAAGCUGGGAGCAAACA